AUGUUGUUUGUUUUUACUUUGAAAAGCUUCCAGCGAUGCCACAGGAGAUAUUAUAUAAAAGCAUCAUGUGCGAAACUGAAGGCACGUCCCUUCAAUAAAAAUGUACUGACUGAAUACCCAGCUUUACUCCUGCAGCCUCCAAGAAAUUCCACAAGUACAGCGUCUCUUUUUCAUUUCUAUUUUACGCUGCCUUUCCUUGAAGUCGAGUGCCCUCCGUGCAUUUCGGAGAAAAACACAAAACGACAACGUCUCGCAGAAGCCGCAUGCAAAUGCUGGAUUUUCUCUCCUUCCUGCUUUUCCCGUUCCCUCCACUUUCCUCCUGCUCCCAGGAUGGAUGGAGGAGAGAGGAGGCGAGAGGAGGGGUGGGGAAGGGGGUGGAUGUGUUGUUCGGUUCUGCUGAAUGCGCGCACAUGUAUGAAAGGAGAAGCAUUUAUUUUAGGACUCUCGCGUGGGUGUACACAUUUUGAAAUACACACACACGCGCACACACACUCACAUGCACACUCACUCACUCAGUCACUCACUCACUCACUCAUCGAGGAAGUGAGCGCUCACAAGCCCAGAGACAGGCCUGACCUACCUUCACAUCAAUCUUGUUUUGAAAGCUGCUGGGAGGAUGCGUUUCCCUGCAGCUCCUCGACUUAUUCCACAUACCUGCAUCCUCCGAAUGCAUCGCGCAUUCGCCGACACAAGGCGAAACACGUAACACACAUCAACACGGCGGCCGACGACAAGAGAAGGCGCGCGGCGCACGAGAGCAGGAGGGGAACAGCAGAAAAAAGCGUGUUGGUCACCUCUCAACACAUCGCACAACGAGUGUCCGUGUUGUUGUGUCAUAUUGUGUCAGCGUUGCCACGGCGUUGUUAUCCUGUAGAAGCUGUUGUCAUGGUAAUAAGGUCACUGGCAUGCUCAUAUGUCAAAAGGGAUUUAGACCGGGCUGACACCAUUUCCAGCGAUGCGUGUGCCAGGCGUGUGUGUGUGUGUGUGUGUGUGUGUGUGUGUGUGUGUGUGUGUGUGUGUGUGUGUGUGUGUGUGUGUGUGUGUGUGUGUGUGUGUGUGUGUGUGUGUGCAUAA
rnacentral:lncRNA from 1 species